rnacentral:rRNA from 1 species
UACGUAGGGGGCUAGCGUUGUCCGGAAUCAUUGGGCGUAAAGCGCGUGUAGGCGGCCCGGUAAGUCCGCUGUGAAAGUCGGGGGCUCAACCCUCGGAUGCCGGUGGAUACUGUCAGGCUCGAGUACGGAAGAGGCGAGUGGAAUUCCUGGUGUAGCGGUGAAAUGCGCAGAUAUCAGGAGGAACACCAAUUGCGAAGGCAGCUCGCUGGGACGUUACUGACGCUGAGACGCGAAAGCGUGGGGAGCAAACAGG